rnacentral:tRNA from 1 species
AGAAACUUAGGAUCAAACCUAAACCGGGGGCCUUCAAAGUCCCAGACAAGAGACAAAAUCCUCUUAGUUUCUG